rnacentral:rRNA from 1 species
CCUACGGGAGGCAGCAGUGGGGAAUAUUGGGCAAUGGAGGCAACUCUGACCCAGCAACGCCGCGUGAAUGAUGAAGGUCUUCGGAUUGUAAAGUUCUGUGAUGGGGGAUGAACACAAUGACGGUACCCCAAUAGCAAGCCACGGCUAACUACGUGCCAGCAGCCGCGGUAAUACGUAGGUGGCAAGCGUUAUCCGGAAUGACUGGGCGUAAGGGGUGCGUAGGUGGGUUAGUAAGUUGGCGGUGUAAUUCCGGGGCUCAACCUCGGCGCUACCACCAAGACUAUUAGACUAGAGUGCAGGAGGGGUAAGUGGAAUUCCUAGUGUAGCGGUGGAAUGCGUAGAUAUUAGGAGGAACAUCAGGGGCGAAGGCGACUUACUGGACUGUAACUGACACUGAGGCACGAAAGCGUGGGGAGCAAACAGGAUUAGAUACCCUUGUAGUC